GGAGGAUCCGAGCGUUAUCCGGACNUAUNGGGUNUAAAGGGAGCGUAGAUGGUGAUNUAAGNCAGCGGUGAAAGUUUGUGGCNCAACCANAAAAUCGCCGUNGAAACUGGGUNACUNGAGUGUGUNUGAGGUAGGCGGAAUGCGUGGUGUAGCGGUGAAAUGCGUAGAUANCACGAAGAACUCCGAUUGCGAAGGCAGCUCACUGGAGCGCAACUGACGCUGAAGCUCGAAAGUGCGGGUAUCAAACAGGAUUAGAUACCCUGGUAGUCCACACAGUAAACGAUGAAUACUCGCUGUUUGCGAUAUACAGUAAGCGGCCAAGCGAAAGCGUUAAGUAUUCCACCUGGGGAGU
rnacentral:rRNA from 1 species